UACAGAGGUCCCAAGCGUUGUUCGGAUUCAUUGGGCGUAAAGGGUGCGUAGGCGGCGCGGUAAGUCGGGUGUGAAAUCUCGGAGCUUAACUCCGAAACUGCAUUCGAUACUGCCGUGCUUGAGGACUGGAGAGGAGACUGGAAUUUACGGUGUAGCGGUGAAAUGCGUAGAUAUCAGGAGGAACACCCGUGGCGAAAGCGGCUCUCUGGGACGGUACUGACGCUGAGACGCGAAAGCGUGGGGAGCAAACAGG
rnacentral:rRNA from 1 species